UUCCUGAUUUGUAAAACUAAAAACUCAGUGUCUUAAAGACCCUUGUUCCCCACUCCUUUCUCAGUCAUUUCAGGCCACUCCCCUCAACUUCCCUGAGCUGGAAUGAAGGCAUUUUCACCUGGAGGAGCUUCUUCGAAAUGGUUCUUACCUUCUCUGGUCAAGUCAACACUUCCAUACAUAAAUAACACCUGCAAGUGCUCCACUAGGAGACAAAAGAGAAAGCAACAGUCUUUGGAGACUCUCUUCUCUCCGCGAGCCCUUUCAGAGACCAGGUUAAAUCUCAUGAAAUGGAAGUCCCAUUCCAUUUCAGAGGUGAACAGAUCCAAACUUUGAUUGUCAUCACCUACACAGGGUAAAGUUAGGCCAGUGUGGAAGAAAGAGACCAGAAUGUGGCAAAACUAAUGGGGAGAGGUGACCAUGAGAAUUGGGAGUGUUGGUCAAUCCACAGCCCACAUACAAAGAAGUGUCUGGCCAUCUGUUCCUGAAAGAUUUAUUGUCUUGAGAAACUCCAUCUGCAGGUUUCACAUACAUACUGUCACUCACCGUAAGAACCAGCGAUCUCCCAGGCCAUAUUCGCAACCACAGAUACCAGAGCGAGGCCACAGGAAACGGGGCAUUUUCCUCUCCAGCAUCACUGUGGUGGCUACAACCUGGAAGGAGAUCAUGUAGCAAAAGAUCUCAGAAAGAGCCAUGAGGAGCAG